AGGAAGGAGUCCAGGGGUGUUUUAGCGUAAUCAUGCUGGCUCAUGCCGCUGAAGGAACAGCUGGGAUUGAGAACUCACUGCUGUGAGGAAACUUGCAAUUGUAUUCCCAUCCCACAGUCACCAGUGGACAGCAGAGCUACCCAUGACAUUCUGGAUGAAAACCUCUGUACUAGAGAAUUAUUCCUUGAUAUCUAUUUAUGGAGAAUUGCUUGUGGGACACCUGUGGAUACCAAAAUUAGUGGAUGCUCAAGUCCAGUAGAAGAAAUGGAGUACUAUUUCCAUAUAAUCUAUGCAUACCAGCAGGUCUACCUCCCACCAAGCGAUCAGCCUCCGUUCUGCUGACUCCAACAGGGUGCACCCUUUCUCUAAUUAACUAAAAUGGCUAUGGAAAGCAAAGGAGGCCUUGUGUUGGGUGAACCAAUUAUUUUGAAGGGUAUUAAGUCAUCAGAUUUACUUUUAUCUUGAUUGCAUUGUGGAAAUCGUGCAUAAUUAAUGGUGGGAGCUUAUUAGGAAAAUGAUUAGGCAAAUUACACA
rnacentral:lncRNA from 1 species